rnacentral:tRNA from 1 species
GUGAGUAUAGCUCAGUGGUAGAGUGCAUGCCUUGCAUCCACAAGGUCCUGGGUUCAAUCCCCAGUACUCCA